rnacentral:rRNA from 1 species
AUAGCUCUGGGAACGAUGUGGGAGGCUAGACAGCUAGGAGGUUGGCUUAGAAGCAGCCACCCUUUAAAGAAAGCGUAAUAGCUCACUAGUCGAGUCGGCCUGCGCGGAAGAUUUACCGGGGCUAAGCAAUGUACCGAAGCUGCGGAUGCACUAUUCUUCGGAAUGAGUGCAUGGUAGAGGAGCGUUCUGUAGGCUGAUGAAGGUGAACUGUAAGGUUUGCUGGAGGUAUCAGAAGUGCGAAUGCUGACAUAAGUAACGAUAAAGAGGGUGAAAGACCCUCUCGCCGAAAACCCAAGGUUUCCUGCUCUACGUUAAUCGGAGCAGGGUGAGUCGGCCCCUAAGGCGAGGCAGAGAUGCGUAGUCGAUGGGAAACUGGUUAAUAUUCCAGUGCUUUUUAUAACUGCGAUGGGGAGACGGAGAAAGCUAUAUCAGCCUGGUGAUGGUUAUCCAGGUUUAAGCUGGUAGGGAGUUGAAUUAGGAAAAUCCGGUUCAACAUGAAUCCCGAGAAGUGAUGACGAGGCACCAAGGUGCUGAAGUGAUAGAUGCUCUGCUUCCAGGAAAAUCCUCUAAGCUUCAGGUUAUGAAAAACCGUACCCCAAACCGACACAGGUGGGUGGGAUGAGAAUUCUAAGGCGCUUGAGAGAACUCGGGUUAAGGAACUAGGCAAAUUAGCACCGUAACUUCGGAAGAAGGUGUGCCCAAAAGUGUGAACUCCUCGCGAGGUAAGCACAUGAGGGUUGCAGUGAAAUGGUGGCUGCGACUGUUUAUUAAAAACAUAGCACUCUGCGAACACGAAAGUGGAAGUAUAGGGUGUGACGCCUGCCCGGUGCCGGAAGGUUAAUUGAUGGGGUUAGCACUUGUGCGAAGCUCUUGAUCGAAGCCCCGGUAAACGGCGGCCGUAACUAUAACGGUCCUAAGGUAGCGAAAUUCCUUGUCGGGUAAGUUCCGACCUGCACGAAUGGCGUAACGAUGGCCACACUGUCUCAACCCGAGACUCAGUGAAAUUGAACUUGCUGUGAAGAUGCAGUAUACCCGCGGCUAGACGGAAAGACCCCGUGCACCUUUACUACAGCUUUGCACUGAACUUUGAACCUACCUGUGUAGGAUAGCUGGGAGGCUUUGAAACUUGGACGCUAGUUCAGGUGGAGCCACACUUGAAAUACCAGCCUGGUAUGUUGAGGUCUAACCUAGGCCCCUAACGGUGACCG